GCCUGGGUGGCUCAGUUGGUUGAGCGUACGACUUUGGCUCGUGGUUCGUGGGUUCGAGCCCCACAUCGGGCU